CUACUGGUAUUUACCCAAAGAAAAUGAAAACACUAAUUUGAAAAGAUACAUGUACCCCUAUAUUCAUUGUAGCAUAUUUACUAUACCAAAUUUGGAAGCCGCCCG